UACGGGGGGAGCAAGCGUUGUUCGGAUUUACUGGGCGUAAAGGGCGCGUAGGCGGGGACGUAAGUCAGGUGUGAAAUACCAAAGCUCAACUUUGGUGCUGCAUUUGAAACUGCGUUUCUUGAGGAUUGAGGGAGAAAGCGGAAUUCCAUGAGUAGCGGUGAAAUGCGUAGAUACAUGGAGGAACACCGGUGGCGAAAACGGCUUUCUACUUUUUACCUGACGCUGAGGCGCGAGAGCAAGGGGAGCAAACAGG
rnacentral:rRNA from 1 species